AAUCUGUGAUGCAAACAUUUCUGAACCAACAUUUUAAAAUGUUCCCAAGCCUGAUAGAAACUUUCUUCUUCCAUCUAUCUAAAGACAGUAAUCUCUCUUUAGAUU
rfam:Gossypium arboreum cultivar AKA8401 contig_6443_5, whole genome shotgun sequence.